rnacentral:rRNA from 1 species
UACGGGGGAUGCAAGCGUUAUCCGGAAUCAUUGGGCGUAAAGCGCCUGUAGGUUGCUUGAUAAGUCUGUCGUUAAAGCUUAGGGCUCAACCCUAAAAAAGCGAUGGAAACUGACAAGCUUGAGUAUGGUAGGGGUAGAGGGAAUUUCUAGUGUAGCGGUGAAAUGCGUAGAUAUUAGAAAGAACACCGGUGGCGAAGGCGCUCGACUGGACCAUUACUGACACUCAGAGGCGAAAGCUAGGGGAGCAAAAGGGAUUAGAUACCCCUGUAGUCCUAGCCGUAAACGAUGGAUACUAGAUGUUGGAUUUAUAGACAGUAUCGUAGCUAACGCGUUAAGUAUCCCGCCUGGGGAGUACGCUCGCAAGGGUG